rnacentral:snRNA from 1 species
CACCGGAUCCCAUCAGAACUCCG